CCUACGGGAGACAGCAGUGAGGAAUAUUGGUCAAUGGACGAGAGUCUGAACCAGCCAAGUAGCGUGAAGGAUGACUGCCCUAUGGGUUGUAAACCUCUUUUGUUGGGGAGCAAAAGCCGGACGUGUCCGGCUGUGAGAGUACCCGAAGAAAAAGCAUCGGCUAACUCCGUGCCAGCAGCCGCGGUAAUACGGAGGAUGCGAGCGUUAUCCGGAUUUAUUGGGUUUAAAGGGUGCGUAGGCGGGAUGCCAAGUCAGCGGUAAAAAUGCGGUGCUCAACGCCGUCGAGCCGUUGAAACUGGCGGUCUUGAGUGGGCGAGAAGUAUGCGGAAUGCGUGGUGUAGCGGUGAAAUGCAUAGAUAUCACGCAGAACUCCGAUUGCGAAGGCAGCAUACCGGCGCCCUACUGAUGCUGAGGCACGAAAGCGUGGGUAUCGAACAGGAUUAGAUACCCUAGUAGUC
rnacentral:rRNA from 1 species